AGAGAUAGGAGAUGUAGUGUUAGAGUUGGUCAUGUUGUUUUCUUUGAUAUGGUUUCGUUUGGAUCAAUCUCGCUAGAUCUUUGACGUGUUGCAACCGACUAUACAUUUGAUGAGGAAUCGCUGCGAAUCUCUUCUAUUUAUUGUUCGACAGAAUGUCCACAAGGAUUUUGCAGCUAAUACCAUUAGAGAUUAGUGACCACAUCACUUAUUCUUAGGUGUGGCAAGGGGCUAGGAAAGGAAGCUGUUG